GAAACUGGCAGGCUGGAGUCUUGUAGAGGGGUUGUAGAAUUCCAAGUGUAGCGGUGAAAUGCGUAGAUAUCUGGAAGAAUACCGGUGGCGAAGGCGGCUCCCUGGACCAAUACUGACGCUCAGGUGCGAAAGCGUGGGGAGCAAACAGGAUUAGAUACCCUGGUAGUCCACGCUGUAAACGAUGUCGACUUGGAGGUUGUUCCCUUGAGGAGUGGCUUCCGGAACUAACGCGUUUAUUCCACCGGCUGGGGAGUACCGCCGCAAGGUUAAAACUCAAAAGAAUUGGCGGGG
rnacentral:rRNA from 1 species